rnacentral:rRNA from 1 species
AACGAACGCUGGCGGCAGGCCUAACACAUGCAAGUCGAACGAAGUCUUCGGACUUAGUGGCGCACGGGUGAGUAACACGUGGGAAUAUACCUUACGCUGGGGGAUAACAUCGGGAAACUGAUGCUAAUACCGCAUACGCCCUUCGGGGGAAAGAUUUAUCGGCGAAAGAUUAGCCCGCGUCCGAUUAGCUAGUUGGCGAGGUAAUGGCUCACCAAGGCUCCGAUCGGUAGCUGGUCUGAGAGGAUGACCAGCCACACUGGGACUGAGACACGGCCCAGACUCCUACGGGAGGCAGCAGUGGGGAAUAUUGGACAAUGGGCGCAAGCCUGAUCCAGCCAUGCCGCGUGAGUGAUGAAGGCCUUAGGGUUGUAAAGCUCUUUCACCCACGACGAUGAUGACGGUAGUGGGAGAAGAAGCCCCGGCUAACUUCGUG